UGGCAAUGAUGUAUGAAUUUCUUAAACUGAACAUGUUCCUUUGUGAGCUUUUUAACCCUGAACCAA